GUUCUCCUUCGCGAGAACAUCGAUUUCAUGUAUUUAUUUGCCAAAAAUGAAACUCGGGUGAAUGAGAAAUUAGAGCUCAAAGUUGGUAAUUGGAAGUUGGUUUUGUGGGAAAAAAUACAUUUAUCCCACAUAGGAAAAUCAAGAAAACUUAAACUACUUUAUAUAUGGCUAUGCUUUGGACAUGUGUAAUCAUGUGUAGCAUAGAGACUCUCUCCACGUGCGCGCGCAGGGGUGCAAAUCACGAGCCGAAAUGGCCUUCGGGCCUUGAACUUAGGUGCGGGCGCGACCUGUGCACACGAAUGUCGGAUCGAACAAGGCAAAAAUGGCCCCCUCGGAGAGCCCAUGUUUUGUCAAUUUUUUUUUUUUUUUUUUUUUUGCUUUCUCCAAUGACUUUUGAGUUUCUAAACUGCAAAAACUCGCAAUGUUUAUUCCUAGAACUGAAAAGCUGAAACUCUAGUGGUUAAUGUCGUAACUCCAGUGACUCCAAUGGACAGGAAUCAGUCUAUAUAAGGGACGCUCACUCCAACAGUUCAAUACACGACGAAAAUUUCUCUCUGCAUACGAAAAUAUUCUUCCCAGUUUUCCACGCAGUGUCGUUUUUCCCAGUUCCAGUUUCCAUACAGUGUAGUUUCUGUUCUCUUCCAGUCACGUGCAAUUCGUCGGAGUAGGACCGUGGUGCUCGAAUUCUGCUUAUUACCGUUGUAUCCUGGGAGACAGCCGCUCGAACUGAAUCUCCAGCACCUACGGUGAGGGGGCAAAACUGUCUUAAGGAAACUGUGUACGCUCAGGCCUCGAUUUGAAAUCUGCUGCAGUUUGUGUUUUCUUUCUGUAGAUUUAUUUCGUUGCAGUUCGUGUAGUUUCUUUGCAGAUUCAGUUUAUCCUUGCAGUCUCAGUUUCCAUUUAUUUCUGCAGAUUAUUUUCGCAUCAGUUUCCAUUUGUUUUUGCAAAUUAUUUUUGCAUUGCUAUUUAAUUCAUGCAGUUUGUAGUUCUAUAGUGUGCAGCUUCCAGAUUCAUCGUUUACAGUUUUAGCCUGCAGUUAACUUAUAUUUCUGAUUUUAUGUUGCUAAACAUUUUUUUCCAGCCGCUGGAAAAUUCUGAAACGGAAUUUUUUUUUGAUAAAUUGAUAUCGUUUGCCUUGUGGUUAUCAAUUUCAAUAGUCGGCUAUUGCAUUUGAAUAAAACUUAUACAAUUGGUUUCAUCCACUAGCGACUUGUUUUCCUACAUAUUUUUGAAUUCAGAGUUGAGGCUGUUGUUGUAAAAUAAUAAAAUAAAAAAUAAAAAAAUCAUUCCCUGUCCCACAAUAUGCUUUUUAGUAUUAUCAAUUUGUGUAACAUGCUCUGCUGUAGCUACUUUGGCUUUUCUAUAGCUAAGAGGGAUUCUCGGUGGGCAUAAGCAUGGGUUUCUGAGGAGAGGCUUAUUUCAUUGCUUAUGAACAGGGGUUGAACACUUGUUGAGAGAUGUGAAAUGCUUUCAAGUAACGUCAAUUUGGGUUGAUUAUUUUGUUUGAAUAGAAUGAUGCUAUUUACUUCUAUUCCUAGACCAAUGUCGCUUGUGUCGAUACACAUGAUUUAAUUCAGAUUUCUCGAGAAGGAUCCUUUCAUUUACUCUGGUGCAUUUAGCAGUAGCUACAGAGCUUGGACAUUCCAAAGAGCUCUAUCUCAUGGCAUGUAAUUUUGUCAAGGAUUAUCCUUAAAAGUAUGCAUCUAUAAUGUUGUAUUAUUUAUAUUAACAAUCAUUGUUAAUCUUGAGAAAGAAUAUCAUGUUAUUGCUCUUAUUUAUUUUCUAAAUUUUUUGUUAGUUUUCCACCAUAGUUGAGUGUAUGACUUAAACUAUCAGGGAAAUAGGUUAUUAUGUGAAGAAAGCAACCCUAGUAAUUAAUACCAACUAUUAGGUUUGAACAUGAUUUUUUCACUCCUAGCAACAUUUCUAAAUUGUUUAAAUUAAGAAUAUUUAAUUUAGUUGACAAUAGAGCACAGAUGCAUUAUGAUUCUAACCAAUAGAAUGGAACAUAGCUAUUAUCUUCUUUAGUCAUCUAUGGAGGUGGCGUGCAAAGUUCUAGGGAGUGAGAGAAUAUUAGGAUUUUUGUCCAUAAAAGCUGUUAUGCAAAUUGGAGCUUAUGUUAGAAACCAAAUGCAGUGGUUGUGCAAAAUAUAAAAACACAAUUUUCCUAUCUGUUAUGCAAAUUGGAGCUUAUGUUAGAAACCAAAUGCAUUACCUAUGUUAAAAAAUCUAGGGCACCAUACACUGAUAUAGAAACUUUAGCUCCUAGUCGUUUUUGAUUGGUUAAUAUUGUAAGUUUCUUCAAAGUUCGCAUUUAGUUCCCUCCUGAGUUUGACUUUUACUUUAUUACAUGAUUUUCUAUGUAUAUGUAUAUUUUACUCCAAUGUGAGUGUGGGACAAUUUAAGAAUCAUCUGCAUUAACACUCUGUACCCUGAGGGCUUGAUGCAUAUUUUUGUAAAAGUCAAUGGAUUAUAUUUUAAUUAUUGUAUUUGUACUAAUCAUGUAACAUGCCUCUUAACAAUUACCAGCAGACUUUCUUGUGUUUCAAUGGGGCUAGCUGUUGAGGCAUAAAAGCUGAUUUUCUAUUUAACGUAUAGAAUUUCCUGUGUUUGAAUGUGGCGUUAGCUGUUGAGGAAGUAAUUGUAAAUGUUGCAGUGCAGCUGAUUGCCAUUCACUCAAAAUUUAUUUCUAAUUACUAUGCUUCGUGGUGGCUUAAAUUUUACAUCUAAAUACUACGUUAGUUUUAGGGUAAUUGAUUUUAUGCUUCAAAUGAAGCUAUCACAAAAAUGUUUCUGCUUGUUUUUUAUGUUUGAAGUUCAUUAGUUUUAAGGAUUUUUAGAAAAAGCUAACUGCUUGUUACUAUAGAAAGUCUUUUUACGAAGAUGGUAAGCCCAUAAUGAACAGUACAGCUGCAAAUUUGAAGUUUCGCAUUUAUGCUGCACUUCAUGAUCCCUUCAAUGGGGAAGUAAAUGAAGGAUUGGAAUGAUGAAAGAUGGAAGAUUUCAGUGAAGGAUUAAGGUGUAAAAUGGAAGAUGCUAGCAUAGAAAUGUUGAUAUGGAAGUCGUUGAAGUUAAUUUUGUACUAAAACCGGCUUAUUUGAUGAAGCUAUUGAAUUUUAUUUUAUUGAUGUGUUCUAGUUCAUUUUUGUGUAGAUUAAAAAAUUUGUAAUGAAGUUAUUAUCAAUGUUGUUGAUUAACUUGUGUAAA